rnacentral:rRNA from 1 species
GAUGAACGCUGACAGAAUGCUUAACACAUGCAAGUCGAUGGGGAAGUGGUGCUUGCACCCUGGUAACCAUGGCGGACGGGUGAGUAACGCGUAAGGAACUUGCCUGCGGGACUGGGAUAACAGCAGGAAACUGCUGAUAAUACCGGAUAAGGUCAUUAAGCUGCAUAGCUUAGUGAUGAAAGGAGACGCCUGCGGAGAGCCUUGCGUCCUAUUAGCUAGUUGGAGGGGUAACGGCCCACCAAGGCGAAGAUAGGUAGCCGGCCUGAGAGGGUGGACGGCCACAAGGGGACUGAGAUACGGCCCUGACUCCUACGGGAGGCAGCAGUGGGGAAUAUUGGACAAUGGGGGCAACCCUGAUCCAGCAAUUCUGUGUGCACGAAGACGGUUUUCGGAGUGUAAAGUGCUUUCAGCAGGGAAGAAGGAAGUGACGGUACCUGCAGAAGAAGCGACGGCUAAAUACGUG